rnacentral:lncRNA from 1 species
AAAGCAUUACAUGUUAUUCUUAACACCUGCCACUUCUCUCUUCCCACCUCUAUCUGCCUUAUUGAACUUCAUCUUUCCUUCAUUCUCUUCAACUUCCACUUCUUCUUGUAUGGUCCUGUUGAUGCCAUCUUGUUUCCGUCCCCAGACUCAUCAUCUUUACCCUCUGUCAACUGAGUUCCCACCCUGGUUCUCUCUCAAGAUCUUCCUCUCAUAGCUUUCACCCUUGGUAAACAAUGAGGACACAUCUCAAAAAGAAUGAUGUAAUUUAAUUGCCUUGAGUUGGCUGGGCCAUCAUCUAUUAUAAAGUGCUCUUAAAAUUAAAGCUAAUUUAAUUCUGAAGAACUAAGGAUUAAGAAGUUAAGAGCUGGGGUUCUUACAAUAUGGCUUGCAGACUACAAGUGUGAACUGAGGAGGUCCCCAAAGUCACUUCUUACUAAGGACUCUGGGAGUUGCCUCUUCCUUCUCCAUUUGCACAAACCACGCUUCAGCCUCAAUCAGCCUGAUAAAAUGUUCACCUGCCAUCUCUCUGCUCUGCAACACGCUGGCACUUCACUCAUUUCCUCCAACAAGCUUCUUACCACUUCCCUCUGUGGCUAAUCUCUUCCCACCCUUGGUCAGUCUCAUCAACUCUAUUCCUUUGAAUCCCAAAUACUAAACAGUUCAGAUAGGUGAUGGAUUGAAAAUAAUCCCAAUAUUCCACAAGCAACAUCAACAUCCCCCACACACCCAGCACCGAGGAAUACCCUCCUCUCUAGAAUGUGAGGCCACUGUGUGGAGGAAGACACCACGGUGCUCUACUGAGCCAUGAAAGUCACGCCUGACCUAAACAGAAGACUACGUCCCCUGGCUAAAAGAGGAAAUAGUUGAAAGCGGUGUAAAUGGCUCUUAUCUGAACCACAAUGAAUUCACAUAUUCAAGUUGGCUUCUUCGGAAAUUUCAGGCCACAAAUGGCAGUGAUGCGACCAGGAGCAGUAACACGAUUACAAGUCGCAAUUUAGGAAGGGUGCUCCAUCAUCAUUUCAUGAUUCUCACUACAGCCCAGACAGGUGGGCAGAGCAGUGUUCUUUCCCCUUUAAUGAAUGAAGAAGCUGAGCCUCAAACAGAUGAGGGGGCUUCCUGGGUUCACAGAGCUCUAAAGGGCUGAGCUGUAGAUCCACGGCCACCAUGAUGAGCUAAGAGUUUCUGGAUUCAGUGCCUGCUGUUGCUCCUGGAGAUUUGUAUCCUGAUUGAAGGCUGGUUCCAUAUCUGUUCACCCAGUGCCACUUCCAUCCGGACAGAAGGAACCCAGGUCAAGGCUGACAGGAGGAGCAGGAGCCGUCAAUGAGAGCAGACCUCAGAAGCCAACGGAGGUGAGAAGAGCACCAUCCACAGCCCCAUCCUCUGAAUGCUGUGGGAAGAAGUCCACAAAAUACCACCCCUUGGAGUCAGUCAGUAGUAGAGCCCUUGCUGCUGGCUGCAAAUACCCCAUCAGAACAUGUUUGGGGUGAUUCUUGGACCUGGUUUCAAUUUCUUUUCUGCCAGUCAGCAGUUGUGCUUGACUCACAAUUUGUUGCCAUCUCUUGAAUUAAACUCAGGAAACAGGAUAAAGAUCAGAACCACAUUGUAAAAGCUUCCUUAUGGUUCAUUUUUUGCUGAGAUAAAUAAUGAGCAGCUCUGAUCCAUGUCUCUGGAGAGCUCAGAGCACACUACCAGGAGCUCCUAGCCACAGGGUGAGCACAGGUGGCUGGUGUUCUCUUGAUGAGGAAAGACAGCAGUGUCCAAUCUACCCUGCCUUACACGGAGCCCCAGGUGCUCUCCCGGACUGUGUUGCUACCUAAAGCACAUGGCAAUUGCAUGAUGCUAACCAGAGCAGCCCCUCACUCAUUAGAAACAUCUGCUUUGCAUUAUUUACACAGGCAAAGUUUUCCUUUUUACUGAGCCUACCCAGUUCAAACUUAAGUGGGAUUUGCCAGCUAUCUGGCUAAUUUUAUGAGCAAUAAUAAAGAUUGGUGAACACUUGGAAAAAAAAAAAAA